rnacentral:rRNA from 1 species
GACGAACGCUGGCGGCGUGCUUAACACAUGCAAGUCGAACGGAAAGGCCCUGCUUUUGUGGGGUGCUCGAGUGGCGAACGGGUGAGUAACACGUGAGUAACCUGCCCUUGACUUUGGGAUAACUUCAGGAAACUGGGGCUAAUACCGGAUAGGAGCUCCUGCUGCAUGGUGGGGGUUGGAAAGUUUCGGCGGUUGGGGAUGGACGCGCGGCUUAUCAGCUUGUUGGUGGGGUAGGGGCUUACCAAGGCUUGGACGGGUAGCCGGCCUGAGAGGGUGACCGGCCACAUUGGGACUGAGAUACGGCCCAGACUCCUACGGGAGGCAGCGGUGGGGAAUAUUGCACAAUGGGAGGAAGCCUGAUGCAGAAACGCCGCGUGCGGGAUGACGGCCUUCGGGUUGUAAACCGCUUUCGCCUGUGACGAAGCGUGAGUGACGGUAAUGGGUAAAGAAGCACCGGCUAACUACGUG